CACCAGAUGAAACUAGAUACAAGCGAGCGGCGGACGGGUGAGUAACACGUGGGUAACCUGCCUAAGAGACUGGGAUAACACCUGGAAACAGAUGCUAAUACCGGAUAACAACACUAGACGCAUGUCUAGAGUUUAAAAGAUGGUUCUGCUAUCACUCUUGGAUGGACCUGCGGUGCAUUGGCUAGUUGGUAAGGCAACGGCUUACCAAGGCAAUGAUGCAUAGCCGAGUUGAGAGACUGAUCGGCCACAUUGGGACUGAGACACGGCCCAAACUCCUACGGGAGGCAGCAGUAGGGAAUCUUCCACAAUGGACGCAAGUCUGAUGGAGCAACGCCGCGUGAGUGAAGAAGGGUUUCGGCUCGUAAAGCUCUGUUGGUAGUGAAGAAAGAUAGAGGUAGUAACUGGCCUUUAUUUGACGGUAAUUACUUAGAAAGUCACGGCUAACUACGUGCCAGCAGCCGCGGUAAUACGUAGGUGGCAAGCGUUGUCCGGAUUUAUUGGGCGUAAAGCGAGUGCAGGCGGUUCAAUAAGUCUGAUGUGAAAGCCUUCGGCUCAACCGGAGAAUUGCAUCAGAAACUGUUGAACUUGAGUGCAGAAGAGGAGAGUGGAACUCCAUGUGUAGCGGUGGAAUGCGUAGAUAUAUGGAAGAACACCAGUGGCGAAGGCGGCUCUCUGGUCUGCAACU
rnacentral:rRNA from 1 species